rnacentral:rRNA from 1 species
CACUUCUAAGGAAGGCAGCAGGCGCGCAAAUUACCCAAUCCUGACUCAGGGAGGUAGUGACAAGAAAUAACAAUAAACCGGCUUAUGCCGGUUUAAUUGGAAUGAGUACAAUUUAAACAUCUUAACGAGGAACAAUUGGAGGGCAAGUCUGGUGCCAGCAGCCGCGGUAAUUCCAGCUCCAAUAGCGUAUACUAAAGUUGUUGCAGUUAAAAAGCUCGUAGUUGGAUUUCUGUGGGGACGGAGCGGCCGGCCGCAACACGCGGUUCGAGCUAGCGCUUUCCCUACAUCCUGCCGCGAACCGUGCUACCAUUAAUUUGGUGGCGCCGGGGAUCGGCUCGAUUACUUUGAGAAAAAUAGAGUGUUCAAAGCAGGCCACAUGCCUUGAAUAAGUUAGCAUGGAAUAAUAACUAAGGACUUCGGUUCUAUUUUGUUGGUGUUCGGGACUGAAGUAAUGAUUGAUAGGGACAGUUGGGGCGGUCUGUAUUCCAAAGCGAGAGGUGAAAUUCUUAGACCUUCGGAAGACAAACAGCUGCGAAAGCGUUCCGCAAGGAUGUUCCCUUUGAUCAAGAACGAAAGUUGGGGGAUCGAAGACGAUCAGAUACCGUCGUAGUCUCAACUAUAAACUAUACCAGCUAGGGAUCGGCCAACGUUAUUUCAUACCGACUUGGUCGGCACCUUAUGAGAAAUCAAAGCAUCUGGGUUCCGGGGGGAGUAUGGUCGCAAGGCUGAAACUUAAAGGAAUUGACGGAAGGGCACCACCAGCCAUGGAGCCUGUGGCUUAAUUUGACUCAACACGGGAAGACUUACCAGGUCCAGACAUAGUAAGGAUUGACAGAUUGAUAGCUCUUUCUUGAUUCUGUGGGUGGUGGUGCAUGGCCGUUCUUAGUUGGUGGAGUGAUUUGUCUGGUUAAUUCCGUUAACGAACGAGACCCCAGCCUGCUAAAUAGCGCGCGUGAGCUUUGCUCGCGGCGAGCUUCUUAGAGGGACUCUGAUGCGCGAUAGCACAUGGAAGUUUGGGGCAAUAACAGGUCUGUGAUGCCCUUAGAUGUUCUGGGCCGCACACGGGCUACACUGGCGCCUGCAACGAGCAUAUCAGCUGGCCCGAGAGGGUCUUGGCUAAUCUUUUGAACCGGCGCCGUGCUUGGGAUUGACCUUUGCAAUUGUUGGUCAUGCAACGAGGAAUGCCUUGUAAACGCGAGUCAUCAGCUCGCAUUGAAUACGUCCCUGCCCUUUGUACACACCGCCCGUCGCUCCUACCGAUGAAUGUUCCGAUGAAAUUUUCGGAGAGCACCUGUGAACUUGGCUCUGCCUUGCGAACGGGAGGCUCAAAGUCACUUAAAUCUGAACAUUUCGAGG